GACGAACGCUGGCGGCGCGCCUAACACAUGCAAGUCGAACGGAGCGUGCCGAGAAGAUCCCUUCGGGGUGAUUCAUGGCAUUGCUUAGUGGCGAACGGGUGAGUAACACGUGAGCAACCUACCUCCGAGCGGGGGACAACAUUUGGAAACAGAUGCUAAUACCGCAUAAGACCACAGCCGGACAUCCGGCAGGGGCCAAAGGAUUUAUCCACUUGGAGAUGGGCUCGCGUCCGAUUAGAUAGUUGGUGAGGUAAUGGCUCACCAAGUCAGCGAUCGGUAGCCGGACUGAGAGGUUGAACGGCCACAUUGGGACUGAGACACGGCCCAGACUCCUACGGGAGGCAGCAGUGGGGAAUAUUGCACAAUGGGCGAAAGCCUGAUGCAGCGACGCCGCGUGAGGGAAGAAGGUUUUCGGAUUGUAAACCUCUGUCUUCGGGGACGAUAAUGACGGUACCCGAGGAGGAAGCCACGGCUAACUACGUGCCAGCCGCCGCCGUAAUAC
rnacentral:rRNA from 1 species